GACACGUGACGGCCGGGGUCGCCGCGCGCGCGGGCGGGAAAGGUGGGGCGAGCGGCUCCGACCCGAGUGGGGGCUGCCUGUGGACGCGGACGGGUCUCAUGCAUUAAUUUGACAAACAUUUGUUGAAGGUCUGGAGUUCUGUGACCAGAUUUUCUGAACUCCAACUCAUGACAUGUGAAAAAGAAUUUUUCUGGUUCUCUGUGUUCCCAUAAUCUUUCCUUUCGUUGAAGCAAAUUUUGUGUGUGUGUGCGUGCGCGCGUGCUUCAGCAAGCAGCUCUAACAAAGCCAUUCAACCAAAGCUGUUACAGUUUAACCAAUUAGAUUCUUCUGAUUCUCAAGUGUUAUUCCAAAUAAGAUUGUUUGGAAAUAUCUCCUCAAAAUAUACAUGUUCUUCUGAAAGGGAUACCAGAAAACACCAUUUUCCAAGCUUGGUACAUAAUCAAAUGAAUGAGGACCUAUGCCAGCUCUACGUUAGCUCCCUGAGACUGGAGUGAAGACUUUCUGCCCAUCUGUUUGCCUUGAUUAGCAUACUUAUUGGACCCAACCAUCACAUACAACAAAACAUAACUAAUAUGUGUUAGCAAAAAGUUCAGUUGCUACAUGAAGAUGGAAGUCAUAUGUUAAGUAAGGAUUGCAGAGUAGAAUGACAGAAGGAGCGUGGAUCCCUGAUGAUCACGGAAGCCCAUCUAGACCCAGGACUGCCUGCCUCUACACGUAUCUGGUAAAAUUGUUCAACAUCAUCAUUUUCAUUUGGUUCAACCAAAUAUACUAGUUAAAGGACAACACAUCAAUCUUAUCCAGAACCUUAUGAGAUUUUUCCAGCCUAACACCUUCAUGUGAUAAAUGGGGAAAUGAAGGCCCAGACACUUCAAAGGACUUCCUCAAGGUACAGAGACACCCUCAGCCGAAGCCACGAAGUUGUUGCUGAGGCUUAGUUGUUGAGACUGGAAGUGAUCUGAAAAGUCUUCAAAUGGCCAUUUGUGAAAGUGUUCUACUUAGGUAGCAAGUUGCCAUUGCCACCACAGAAAUAACCUC